GACGAACGCUGGCGGCGUGCCUAAUACAUGCAAGUAGAACGCUGAAGGGAGGAGCUUGCUCUUCUUGGAUGAGUUGCGAACGGGUGAGUAACGCGUAGGUAACCUGCCUUGUAGCGGGGGAUAACUAUUGGAAACGAUAGCUAAUACCGCAUAACAAUGGAUGACCCAUGUCAUUUAUUUGAAAGGGGCAAAUGCUCCACUACAAGAUGGACCUGCGUUGUAUUAGCUAGUAGGUGAGGUAACGGCUCACCUAGGCGACGAUACAUAGCCGACCUGAGAGGGUGAUCGGCCACACUGGGACUGAGACACGGCCCAGACUCCUACGGGAGGCAGCAGUAGGGAAUCUUCGGCAAUGGGGGCAACCCUGACCGAGCAACGCCGCGUGAGUGAAGAAGGUUUUCGGAUCGUAAAGCUCUGUUGUAAGUCAAGAACGAGUGUGAGAGUGGAAAGUUCACACUGUGACGGUAGCUUACCAGAAAGGGACGGCUAACUACGUGCCAGCAGCCGCGGUAAUACGUAGGUCCCGAGCGUUGUCCGGAUUUAUUGGGCGUAAAGCGAGCGCAGGCGGUUUGAUAAGUCUGAAGUUAAAGGCUGUGGCUCAACCAUAGUUCGCUUUGGAAACUGUCAAACUUGAGUGCAGAAGGGGAGAGUGGAAUUCCAUGUGUAGCGGUGAAAUGCGUAGAUAUAUGGAGGAACACCGGUGGCGAAAGCGGCUCUCUGGUCUGUAACUGACGCUGAGGCUCGAAAGCGUGGGGAGCGAACAGGAUUAGAUACCCUGGUAGUCCACGCCGUAAACGACGAGUGCUAGGUGUUGGAUCCUUUCCGGGAUUCAGUGCCGCAGCUAACGCAUUAAGCACUCCGCCUGGGGAGUACGACCGCAAGGUUGAAACUCAAAGGAAUUGACGGGGGCCCGCACAAGCGGUGGAGCAUGUGGUUUAAUUCGAAGCAACGCGAAGAACCUUACCAGGUCUUGACAUCCCGAUGCUAUUUCUAGAGAUAGGAAGUUACUUCGGUACAUCGGUGACAGGUGGUGCAUGGUUGUCGUCAGCUCGUGUCGUGAGAUGUUGGGUUAAGUCCCGCAACGAGCGCAACCCCUAUUGUUAGUUGCCAUCAUUCAGUUGGGCACUCUAGCGAGACUGCCGGUAAUAAACCGGAGGAAGGUGGGGAUGACGUCAAAUCAUCAUGCCCCUUAUGACCUGGGCUACACACGUGCUACAAUGGUUGGUACAACGAGUUGCGAGUCGGUGACGGCGAGCUAAUCUCUUAAAGCCAAUCUCAGUUCGGAUUGUAGGCUGCAACUCGCCUACAUGAAGUCGGAAUCGCUAGUAAUCGCGGAUCAGCACGCCGCGGUGAAUACGUUCCCGGGCCU
rnacentral:rRNA from 1 species